rnacentral:tRNA from 2 species
GCCGGGGUGGCGGAAUUGGGAGACGCGGCGGACUCAAAAUCCGCUGGGAGUUAAUCCCGUGCGGGUUCGAGUCCCGCCCCCGGCA